UACGUAGGGUGCGAGCGUUGUCCGGAAUUAUUGGGCGUAAAGAGCUCGUAGGCGGCUUGUCGCGUCGGAUGUGAAAGCCUGGGGCUUAACUCCGGGUCUGCAUUCGAUACGGGCAGGCUAGAGUUCGGUAGGGGAGAUCGGAAUUCCUGGUGUAGCGGUGAAAUGCGCAGAUAUCGGGAGGAACACCAGUAGCGAAGGCGACACUCUGGGCCGGUACUGACGCUGAGGAGCGAAAGCGUGGGGAGCAAACAGG
rnacentral:rRNA from 1 species